GAUAAACGUUGGCGGCGUGCCUAAUGCAUGCAAGUCGCAUGAGGGCUUCGGCCCUAGUGGCGGACGGGUGAGUACCACGUACGAAUCUGCCCGGAGGUGGGGGACAACUUCCCGAAAGGGAAGCUAAUACCGCAUACGGUCUACGGACCAAAGCCGAAAGGCGCCACCGGAGGAGCGUGCGGCGGAUUAGCUAGUUGGUGGGGUAACGGCCUACCAAGGCGACGAUCCGUAGCUGGUCUGAGAGGAUGGUCAGCCACACUGGGACUGAGAUACGGCCCAGACUCCUACGGGAGGCAGCAGCAAGGAAUUUUGCACAAUCGACGCAAGUCGGAUGCAGCAACGCCGCGUGGGGGAUGAAGGCUCUCGGGUUGUAAACCCCUUUUGCGAGGGAAGAAGAUCUGACGGUACCUCGCGAAUAAGUCACGGCUAACUACGUGCCAGCAGCCGCCGUAA
rnacentral:rRNA from 1 species